GAUGAACGCUGGCGGCGUGCCUAAUACAUGCAAGUCGAACGAAACUUCUUUAUCACCGAGUGCUUGCACUCACCGAUAAAGAGUUGAGUGGCGAACGGGUGAGUAACACGUGGGCAACCUGCCCAAAAGAGGGGGAUAACACUUGGAAACAGGUGCUAAUACCGCAUAACCAUAGUUACCGCAUGGUAACUAUGUAAAAGGUGGCUAUACUACCGCUUUUGGAUGGGCCCGCGGCGCAUUAGCUAGUUGGUAGGGUAAAGGCUUACCAAGGCAAUGAUGCGUAGCCGAAUUGAGAGGUUGAUCGGCCACAUUGGGACUGAGACACGGCCCAAACUCCUACGGGAGGCAGCAGUAGGGAAUCUUCCACAAUGGGCGUAAGCCUGAUGGAGCAACGCCGCGUGGGUGAAGAAGGUCUUCGGAUCGUAAAACCCUGUUGUUAGAGAAGAAAGUGCGUGAGAGUAACUGUUCACGUUUCGACGGUAUCUAACCAGAAAGCCACGGCUAACUACGUG
rnacentral:rRNA from 1 species